AGGUCUUUCGCCCUGGGUAGGGGAGAUGGGGGUUAAUCUCUCUCUAUGCAAUCAGGCUCUAAAAUUGGCUGCUUCCCGGAACAGAAACGGCAGGAGUUGGCAUCAGAAUGCAGCAACUUGAUUCCUGGCUACUUACCAGUUCCGUGACCUGAGGGUCCAGCACAUGGUAUGUGCACAGACAUGUUGUUUGAAUGAAUGAAGAUUUUCCCACCUGGGUCUGCUGCCUCCUUCAUGUUUUACCACCUGGUGUCACUUCAGAUUCUGAAACUAUCUGUGGCUCAUCUACUUAGGGAGGACACUGAUGUGGACAUUGCAGAAUAUCAGCUCCAGUUUGAUAAGGUGGUGCACAAUGAUGAGAGAGAGGACUUUGAGGGUUUUCUUCCUAGGUGCUCAAGUAGCUAAAAAAUAAAUAAAUAAAAAAAUAGAAUACAAUAAAAAACAAGCAGUGGUGGGAAUUACAGAUUAGCUAUAGAAGGAAAGAUUACCAAAUUCCGUUGGGGUGUGGCUGCUAGUGGUCUUUAAAACACUGAAGGCAGGCUUGUCUCAGGUCCCAAGUAUAUUGCAAAUGAGCCAGCACUAAAUAAACCUUGAAACCUGA
rnacentral:lncRNA from 1 species